rnacentral:rRNA from 1 species
GUAGGUGGCAAGCGUUGUCCGGAAUUAUUGGGCGUAAAGCGCGCGCGGGCGGUCCUUUAAGUCUGAUGUGAAAGCCCACGGCUCAACCGUGGAGGGUCAUUGGAAACUGGGGGACUUGAGUACAGAAGAGGAAAGCGGAAUUCCAAGUGUAGCGGUGAAAUGCGUAGAGAUUUGGAGGAACACCAGUGGCGAAGGCGGCUUUCUGGUCUGUAACUGACGCUGAGGCGCGAAAGCGUGGGGAGCAAACAGGAUUAGAUACCCUGGUAGUCCACGCCGUAAACGAUGAGUGCUAAGUGUUAGGGGGUUUUCCCGCCCCCCUUAGUGCUGCAGCUAACGCAUUAAGCACUCCGCCUGGGGGAGUACGGCCGCAAGGCUG